AGAGAAAUACUUAUAUUAUCAACAUAAUUGAAAAAUUUACACAAAACACUUUCAAACAAUAUCUAGGGCAAGUUAUAGUCCAAAUAAAAAAAAACCUUGACAAUAAAUAGCCUUUUAAGUCUAAAUAUUUAAGUACUUGCCACUAACUUAAAAACUUUUAGUGCUUUUCUAUAGUAUUAAGCCUCAAAUGUCAAAUAUACAUCUGAUUGGUUUCUUCUUUAAAUUAUAUAAAAAGUAAAAAUAUGAAUGGUAUUAUAGUGUUAUACUAAAAUUAAAACAAUGGAAAAAUCCUUAAGAUAAUAUGUAGAAAGAAAAAAAAGCAUCUUAAGCACACAGAAUAACAUAAGUGGAUUUUGAACGAUUAAUUGCCAAUUUGAACGACUACGUAACAGUGGCAUCCAUAAUUGUAAUCGCGAUUAGAAAUUCGAUUAAUUGUGCAGGCUUAAUUAAAAUUAUUAACGUUUAGCAAUUUUUCUUCUAUGUAAACGUUUGACCACGACUGUAAAUUGAGCAUGUAUGAUAAUGUUACAUUUCAAUGUUUUACAAUUUUUUAAUUGAUUUGUAUUUAUGUAUUAUGAAGAGACUGCAGAGUUAUAUCUGAGUUAGAGAAAUAUUUAUAAUAUUUCUUAUAAUCCUGAAAAAGUUUAAGAUAAAUGUUAAUAAGUAAAACCCAAGAAAUUUUAUUUUAACUUACUUUAUUGUAUCCAAAUUCAGUGUAUGUUCUCUGACUCCACAGGCCUGAAAUCAAGUCUCAUGUAUCAGGAAAAGAAGCAGAAAAGCCCGUAAAAUGAGUGUAUGAGGAGAGAAAGAAGGAGAAACCUGUCUGUGAAAUGAGUGUCUCUGAGGAGAAAGUGCAGGAGUCAUCUGUUGACGCUCAUAGAGCAGCGUCUCCAGGAUUCAGCUGUGUGUCUAUGAAGAGUAACAACUCCAUGUAUCUGCCCCCUGAACUCAGUGAUGUUGACCCUCAGAGAGCAGCGUCUCCAGGAUUCAGCUGUGUGUCUAUGAAGAGUAACAACUCCAUGUAUCUGCCCCCUGAACUCAGUGAUGUUGACCCUCAGAGAGCAGCGUCUCCAGGAUUCAGCUGUGUGUCUAUGAAGAGUAACAACUCCAUGUAUCUGCCCCCUGAACUCAGUGAUGUUGACCCUCAGAGAGCAGCGUCUCCAGGAUUCAGCUGUGUGUCUAUGAAGAGUAACAACUCCAUGUAUCUGCCCCCUGAACUCAGUGAUGUUGACCCUCAGAGAGCAGCGUCUCCAGGAUUCAGCUGUGUGUCUAUGAAGAGUAACAACUCCAUGUAUCUGCCCCCUGAACUCAGUGAUGUUGACCCUCAGAGAGCAGCGUCUCCAGGAUUCAGCUGUGUGUCUAUGAAGAGUAACAACUCCAUGUAUCUGCCCCCUGAACUCAGUGAUGUUGACCCUCAGAGAGCAGCGUCUCCAGGAUUCAGCUGUGUGUCUAUGAAGAGUAACAACUCCAUGUAUCUGCCCCCUGAACUCAGUGAUGUUGACCCUCAGAGAGCAGCGUCUCCAGGAUUCAGCUGUGUGUCUAUGAAGAGUAACAACUCCAUGUAUCUGCCCCCUGAACUCAGUGAUGUUGACCCUCAGAGAGCAGCGUCUCCAGGAUUCAGCUGUGUGUCUAUGAAGAGUAACAACUCCAUGUAUCUGCCCCCUGAACUCAGUGAUGUUGACCCUCAGAGAGCAGCGUCUCCAGGAUUCAGCUGUGUGUCUAUGAAGAGUAACAACUCCAUGUUUCUGCCCCCUGAACUCAGUGAUGUUGACGCUCAGAGAGCAGCAUCUCCAGGCUUCAGCUGUGUGUCUGUGAAGAGUAACAACUCCAUGUUUCUGCCCCCUGAACUCAGUGAUGGAGCUGCUGUGACCUCUGACCCUGGUAUCAUUAGCAGAAAUAGAAAGAGAGCAGCAUCUCCAGUAUCUAGCUGUGUGUCUAUGAAGAGUAACAAACCCAUUGGUCUGCCUCUUUAUCUCAGUGAUGAACCUGCUGUGACCUCUGACCCUAUGUGAGUAUCAUGUGUAACAUGUUUUAGUCCCCUGAAUUUAGUAAUGACGCAGUGACCUUUGAGUCUGUCUGAGUAUAAUCAUAUAUAUAUGAGUUGGGGUUUAAAUGUUUAUUUGUAAUCCCCUACUGCAGUGUUUAAUUAGUGAAUGUAAGUUAUAAUCACUUUAGCUUCUAACACUUAUCAAUAACAAAAAAAAAUUCUUGCAAAUGAUUUAAGCAAGAAGAAAAAAAUAUUUCUUAAAUUACCACAAAGUAACAACAAACAAAGUUACAAAAAUCAUUCGCAAGUUUAUAAUUUUAUACACUGAGCAAGGUAUUGAUAUUCAUCAAAGACCGGGUUGUCAUAGCAGGAUAUGACAUGUCAAAUAGGUCUUUCUGUCGGUCCUCAGUGUGUGUAGCAAAAGCUCCUUUGUUGGCAUGCAAUGUAGAUGAGGAGCCUUGUUCUCUUUACCAUAUGUGUGCUUUCUGAAUAUCCUGUUUUACCAUGUGUAUCGUAUUCAAAUGAUUCAGUGAUCAUUUAAAUACAAUGCAAGUCAUUAUUUACCUUCAAAUUCUUGCUGGGCAUUCAUAAUCUACAGUGAAUAUGAAAUUCACAAUUUGUGAUGUAAGGAAAAUAAACUGGCCACAAUAGACA
ensembl:lncRNA